rnacentral:pre_miRNA from 1 species
UUAGCCCUGCGGCCCCACGCACCAGGGUAAGAGAGACUCUCACUUCCUGCCCUGGCCCGAGGGACCGACUGGCUGGGC